GCGCAGCUAUUUAGUACGAGAGGACCGGAGUGAACGCACCACUGGUGUUCGGGUUGUCAUGCCAAUGGCAUUGCCCGGUAGCUAAGUGCGGAAAAGAUAAGCGCUGAAAGCAUCUAAGCGCG
rnacentral:rRNA from 1 species